CAGUAGCCGCGGGAAUACCGAGGGUGCGAGCGUUAAUCGGAUUUACUGGGCGUAAAGCGUGCGUAGGCGGCUUUUUAAGUCGGAUGUGAAAUCCCUGAGCUUAACUUAGGAAUUGCAUUCGAUACUGGGAAGCUAGAGUAUGGGAGAGGAUGGUAGAAUUCCAGGUGUAGCGGUGAAAUGCGUAGAGAUCUGGAGGAAUACCGAUGGCGAAGGCAGCCAUCUGGCCUAAUACUGACGCUGAGGUACGAAAGCAUGGGGAGCAAACAGGAUUAGAUACCCGAGUAGUCCCUGUCUCUUAUAC
rnacentral:rRNA from 1 species